CGCGAUGUAGCUCCAAUGGACAGAGCCCUUGUUUUCUUUGUAUACAGAAUUAGAUGCCGCUAAGCUGGAUACAGACAAGGAGGAUGCAGGUUCGAAUCCUGCCAUUGCGCCCA
rnacentral:tRNA from 1 species